rnacentral:lncRNA from 1 species
GAUUAGAGCGGUUCAAACAAUACAGAAGUGUAUAAAGUAAGAAUUGAAAGUCUCUUCGCUGCUCUAAUCUCACUCCUCAGAGGUGAUCACUGUGUGGAAGAUGAUCAAAGUAUGACAUUUCUUCUACCCCAGAGGCUGGCAUUUCUGCAGGCACAAAUGAGCUUGGUUUUCAAGCACUGCUCUUUGAACACAAGGAAUUCCUUUAAUGAUCACGCCGGACUAUAUAGACUUUGGAAUCAGACUCUUUGAAUUCCAGCUCUGCCAUUUACCAACUUUGACACUUUGGGGUUUUGGAAAUCUGGAUUGUAGCAGGGCAUUGUAAG